rnacentral:rRNA from 1 species
UACGGAGGGGGCUAGCGUUGUUCGGAAUCACUGGGCGUAAAGCGCACGUAGGCGGAUGUGUCAGUCAGGGGUGAAAUCCCGGAGCUCAACUUCGGAACUGCCUUUGAUACAGCACGUCUUGAGUCCGGAAGAGGUGGGUGGAAUUCCUAGUGUAGAGGUGAAAUUCGUAGAUAUUAGGAAGAACACCGGUGGCGAAGGCGGCCCACUGGUCCGGUACUGACGCUGAGGUGCGAAAGCGUGGGGAGCAAACAGG